rnacentral:lncRNA from 1 species
UCUGUGAUUGACACUGCCUUUUCUCUCCACUGGUCUUACAGAAAUAGGAAAGGGUCACAAUUUACUCUGGUUACAUCGCAGGGAUUGUGGACUUCUGGAAACCUCUACUGAACUAGAAAGAAAGUUCUCUCUAGUUAAGGAAGGCAAGAUGGCAGGAGGCCCCUUGGUGAUGGGAACAUGUGGCUGGGACUCUUCACCUCUAAACAUUAUAGUGAAACAGAAAGAAGAGAAAGGGCUCAUACUUCUCGAUUAAGAUUUCCUGAAAUGUUUGCUUUGGGCUGCAGGAGCCAGAGCAGGAGGAAGAAAAGAAAGAGGAAAAGGUAAAAGAAUUUAGUUUAAAU